AUUAAACGCUGGCGGCAUGCCUUACACAUGCAAGUCGAACGGCAGCACGGGGGCAACCCUGGUGGCGAGUGGCGGACGGGUGAGUAAAGCAUCGGAACGUAUCCUGGAGUGGGGGAUAACGUAGCGAAAGUUACGCUAAUACCGCAUAUUCUGUGAGCAGGAAAGCAGGGGAUCGCAAGACCUUGCGCUCUGGGAGCGGCCGAUGUCGGAUUAGCUAGUUGGUGGGGUAAAGGCCUACCAAGGCGACGAUCCGUAGCGGGUCUGAGAGGAUGAUCCGCCACACUGGGACUGAGACACGGCCCAGACUCCUACGGGAGGCAGCAGUGGGGAAUUUUGGGACAAUGGGCGGAAGCCUGAUCCAGCCAUGCCGCGUGAGUGAAGAAGGCCU
rnacentral:rRNA from 1 species